GAUCCGCUCGGCUGCUGGACCGGGAGCCCGGUCACGGACCUUGACCCGCUGGAGCUCGACCGGUCCGAUCCCGGUCUGGAUCAC
rnacentral:tRNA from 1 species